rnacentral:rRNA from 1 species
CUACGGGAGGCUGCAGUGGGGAAUAUUGCACAAUGGGCGCAAGCCUGAUGCAGCCAUGCCGCGUGUAUGAAGAAGGCCUUCGGGUUGUAAAGUACUUUCAGCGGGGAGGAAGGGAGUAAAGUUAAUACCUUUGCUCAUUGACGUUACCCGCAGAAGAAGCACCGGCUAACUCCGUGCCAGCAGCCGCGGUAAUACGGAGGGUGCAAGCGUUAAUCGGAAUUACUGGGUGUAAAGCGCACGCAGGCGGUUUGUUAAGUCAGAUGUGAAAUCCCCGGGCUCAACCUGGGAACUGCAUCUGAUACUGGCGAGCUUGAGUCUCGUAGAGGGGGGUAGAAUUCCAGGUGUAGCGGUGAGAUGCGUAGAGAUCUGGAGGAAUACCGGUGGCGAAGGCGGCCCCCUGGACGAAGACUGACGCUCAGGUGCGAAAGCGUGGGGAGCAAACAGGAUUAGAUACCCCGGUAGUC